rfam:Ovis aries breed Texel chromosome 9, whole genome shotgun sequence.
GGUCCCUUGGCUUAGUUGGUUAAAGAGUCUGUCUAGUAAACAGGAGACCCUGGGUUUGAGUCCCAGAAGUGCCU